CAAAGUUCCAUCUCAGAUGAAGACCCUGUAACUAAAGUGGGUGGUGAUGAAAGUUGCAGUUUAGAUGAACUUCCUGAAACCCUCAUAGGACAAAGUGUUGCAGAACAGUGUAUCUUCCACGUGUUCCAUAUGUGGAAGAGGCUUUAAUUACAUACAGUGAGGACAAUCUACUGGGAGAAGGAACAUUUGGCAAGGUAUAUAGAGGUUCUUUUCAUGGU